rnacentral:rRNA from 1 species
UACGGAGGGUGCAAGCGUUAUCCGGAUUCACUGGGUUUAAAGGGAGCGUAGGUGGGCAGGUAAGUCAGUGGUGAAAUCUCCGGGCUUAACCCGGAAACUGCCAUUGAUACUAUCUGUCUUGAAUAUCCUGGAGGUAAGCGGAAUAUGUCAUGUAGCGGUGAAAUGCUUAGAUAUGACAUAGAACACCCAUUGCGAAGGCAGCUUACUACGGGAUGAUUGACACUGAGGCUCGAAAGCGUGGGGAUCAAACAGGAUUAGAAACCCCAGUAGUCC